GCUACGGUGCUGGAUGUUCCAGCUACAUCCACUUGGAAUAUACCUGCUGUGAAUUCCAGCAUGUCAGCAGUCCUAGCCAGAGUCUGAGAGCUCAUGAGAGGAGUGAAAACAAGACUGGAACAUGCCAUAACGCAGAACUCCAUCUUCACACCUACCCCCGUGUCGGAUCAACUGCAAUGGCUCUGGGCUCGCUUAGUAGAGUAUAUACCCAGAAACAUCACUCUGGCCCUGGAGCCCUUCAGCGUGUGCAGGUAUUCGUCUGUAGUCCCUGAGAAGAGCUUCUGACCAUCAAACGGGAGGUCCUCAACAGUAUUCCGAACCUCUCUUGGGAGCUCCGACAGUUGGAGCCAUGACGCCCUGCAUAUGACAACCGCUGUGGAGAUGGAUUCAGCGGCAGUGUCUGCAGCACCCAAGGACUUGGAGAAAGGUUCUGGCUAAUAAC